rnacentral:rRNA from 1 species
CACGUAGGGGGCAAGCGUUGUCCGGAUUUAUUGGGCGUAAAGAGCUCGUAGGCGGUUCGCUAAGUCGGGUGUGAAACCUCCAGGCUCAACCUGGAGACGCCACCCGAUACUGUCGUGACUAGAGUCCAGUAGGGGAGCGUGGAAUUCCUGGUGUAGCGGUGAAAUGCGCAGAUAUCAGGAGGAACACCAGCGGCGAAGGCGGCGCUCUGGGCUGGCACUGACGCUGAGGAGCGAAAGCGUGGGGAGCGAACAGG